GCAUGCCUAUAGAAUAGCGUUAAUGCAUCAGAUCCCAUUAGAACUCUACAGUUAAGAACGCUCAGGCUAGAGUAGUAUUGGGAUGGGUGACCGCCCGUGAAUUCCUAGUGUUUUACAUGCU
rfam:Picea glauca, whole genome shotgun sequence.